UACGGGGGGGGCAAGCGUUGUUCGGAAUUACUGGGCGUAAAGGGCGCGUAGGCAGCCUGCUAAGUCGGACGUGAAAUCCCCCGGCUCAACCGGGGAACUGCGUCCGAUACUGGUGGGCUCGAAUCCGGGAGAGGGAUGUGGAAUUCCAGGUGUAGCGGUGAAAUGCGUAGAUAUCUGGAGGAACACCGGUGGCGAAGGCGGCAUCCUGGACCGGCAUUGACGCUGAGGCGCGAAAGCCAGGGGAGCAAACGGG
rnacentral:rRNA from 1 species